CGCCAGACUCCUACGGGAGGCAGCAGUGAGGAAUAUUGGUCAAUGGCCGAGAGGCUGAACCAGCCAAGUCGCGUGAGGGAAGACGGCCCUACGGGUUGUAAACCUCUUUUGUCGGGGAGCAAAGCGAACCACGUGUGGUUCAUUGAGAGUACCCGAAGAAAAAGCAUCGGCUAACUCCGUGCCAGCAGCCGCGGUAAUACGGAGGAUGCGAGCGUUAUCCGGAUUUAUUGGGUUUAAAGGGUGCGCAGGCGGAGGUGCAAGUCGGCGGUGAAAUGUCGGGGCCCAACCCCGGCCUGCCGUUGAAACUGGCGGCCUCGAGUGGGCGAGAAGUAUGCGGAAUGCGUGGUGUAGCGGUGAAAUGCAUAGAUAUCACGCAGAACUCCGAUUGCGAAGGCAGCAUACCGGCGCUCAACUGACGCUCAUGCACGAAAGCGUGGGUAUCGAGCAGGAUUAGAUACCCCGGUA
rnacentral:rRNA from 1 species